CAGCAGCCACGGGAAUACAGAGGGUGCGAGCGUUAAUCGGAUUUACUGGGCGUAAAGCGUGCGUAGGCGGCUUCUUAAGUCGGAUGUGAAAUCCCUGAGCUUAACUUAGGAAUUGCAUUCGAUACUGGGAAGCUAGAGUAUGGGAGAGGAUGGUAGAAUUCCAGGUGUAGCGGUGAAAUGCUUAGAGAUCUGGAGGAAUACCGAUGGCGAAGGCAGCCAUCUGGCCUAAUACUGACGCUGAGGUACGAAAGCAUGGGGAGCAAACAGGAUUAGAUACCCGCGUAGUCCCUGUCUCUUAUAC
rnacentral:rRNA from 1 species